rnacentral:rRNA from 1 species
GACGAACCGUGCGAACGUUAUUCGGAAUCACUGGGCUUAAAGCGCGUGUAGGCGGGCCGGCACGUCGGUCGUUGAAAUCCCCCGGCUCAACCGGGGAAGCGACGCCGAUACGACCGGCCUCGAGGGACGUAGGGGGGGCUGGAACUUCCGGUGGAGCGGUGAAAUGCGUUGAGAUCGGAAGGAACGCCCGUGGCGAAAGCGAGCCCCUGGACGUCUACUGACGCUGAGACGCGAAAGCCAGGGGAGCGAACGGG